rnacentral:rRNA from 1 species
ACGUGCCAGCAGCCGCGGUAAAACGUAGGUCACAAGCGUUGUCCGGAAUUACUGGGUGUAAAGGGAGCGCAGGCGGGAGAACAAGUUGGAAGUGAAAUCCAUGGGCUCAACCCAUGAACUGCUUUCAAAACUGUUUUUCUUGAGUAGUGCAGAGGUAGGCGGAAUUCCCGGUGUAGCGGUGGAAUGCGUAGAUAUCGGGAGGAACACCAUUGGCGAAGGCGGCCUACUGGGCACCAACUGACGCUGAGGCUCGAAAGUGUGGGUAGCAAACAGGAUUAAAUACCCUGGUAGUCCACACCGUAAACGAUGAUUACUAGGUGUUGGAGGAUUGACCCCUUCAGUGCCGCAGUUAACACAAUAA